rnacentral:rRNA from 1 species
CAAGUCGAACGGUGUCCUCGCGACAUAGUGGCGCACGGGUGCCUAACACCUAUGCCACCCACCUUACAUUGGGGGAUAGCCUUUCCAAAGGGAGAUUAAUACCGCAUAAGACAGUAACUAGGCAUCUAGUAGCUGUUAAAGAUUUAUCGAUGUAAGCUGGGCAUGCCACCCAUUAGCUAGUUGGUGAGGUAAUGGCUCCCCCAGGCUAUGAUUGGUAGGGGAACUGAGAGGUCCAUCCCCCCCACUGGCCCUGAGAUACCGGCCAGACUCCUACGGGAGGCAGCAGUAGGGAAUAUUGGGCAAUGGACCGCAGUCUGACCCAGCCCUGCCGCGUGCCGGAUGAAGGCGUUAUGCGUUGUAAACUGCUUUUAUACAGGAAGAAACGACUCUUGCGAGAGGCAUUGACGGUACUGUAUGAAUAAGCACCGGCUAACUCCGUGCCCGCAGCCGCGGUAAUACGGAGGGUGCAAGCCUUGUCCGGAUUUAUUGGGUUUAAAGGGUGCGCACGUGGUUUAUUAAGUCAGUGGUGAAAGACGGUCGCUCCACGAUUGCAGUGCCAUUGAAACUGGUAGACUUGAGUAAAGUAGAGGUGGGCGGAAUUGAUAGUGUAG